rnacentral:sRNA from 1 species
AGGGCGGGACUUCUGGCGUCUUCGCAGCGGUCAUUUUGGCUGCCCUGCGGUCUGUUCUAUCCGUCAGCCGCUUUGGUGUGCUGCAUCCGGAUCGAAGUGACGGACCGUGAAGCCGCGAGAAUCAGGUCUGAGGGUCGGGGGCAGAGCCGCCCGCGAGGCCGGCCUGGGGAUAGCGGUGCUCGGGUUCUCCCCGGGUCUCCCGCAGCUCCCGGUCCAGCUCCGCCCACAGACUCGGAUGGCGACCGUACUGAGGGACCCGGCUUCGGGCCGUGGGAGCCAUAGAGAGCUUUCGCAAACGAGAGACACCAUCUGAGUUAGAAUUUGAAAAAUCCUCUGCAGGCUGUUCAGUGGAAGAAAAGACUUUAGAGAUGAAUGAGGACGUUGAGGCAGAGGGAGGCUGAAUAUUUUUCCAAGGCCACACAACUGGUGAGAGGCAGCACUAAGGACCGAGGCGCACAGGUUAGACAGUCGACCCAAAGUUACGUGGCUCUGGGCCGGGGCAAGGGUACAGAGAAGGCCUGUGCCCAUGGAGCACUGCCAUGAUCACAUUCCUCUGAGGCCUGCGUCUUUCCACAGGUUCCCAUAGCU